GACGAACGCUGGCGGCGCGCCUAACACAUGCAAGUCGAGCGGAGAUACUUGAAGGAAGUUUUCGGAUGGAAUUUGAGUAUUUUAGCGGCGGACGGGUGAGUAACGCGUGAGUGACCUGCCUUCCACAGGGGGAUAACGUACCGAAAGGUACACUAAUACCGCAUGAGACCACAGCACUGCCUGGUGCAGGGGUCAAAGGAGCACCCGGUGGAAGAUGGACUCGCGUCCGAGUGGAUAGUUGGUGGGGUAACGGCCUACCAAGUGAGCGAUCGGUAGCCGACCUGAGAGGGUGAUCGGCCACAUUGGAACUGAGAGACGGUCCAAACUCCUACGGGAGGCAGCAGUGGGGAAGAUUGGGCAAUGGGGGAAACCCUGACCCAGCGACGCCGCGUGAGGGAAGAAGGUUUUCGGAUUGUAAACCUCUGUUCUUGGUGAAGAGGGAAAGACGGUAGCCAAGGAGGAAGCCCCGGCUAACUACGUGCCAGCCGCCGCCGUAA
rnacentral:rRNA from 1 species